UACGGAGGAUGCAAGCGUUAUCCGGAUUCAUUGGGUUUAAAGGGUGCGCAGGUUGGAUAGUAAGUCAGUGGUGAAAUACUGCCGCUUAACGGUAGAACUGCCAUUGAUACUGCUGUUCUUGAGUAUGGUUGAGGUAGGUGGAAUGUGUUGUGUAGCGGUGAAAUGCAUAGAUAUGACACAGAACGCCGAUUGCGAAGGCAACUUACUAAGCCAUUACUGACGCUGAGGCACGAAAGCGUGGGGAGCGAAC
rnacentral:rRNA from 1 species